UACGGAGGAUCCAAGCGUUAUCCGGAUUUAUUGGGUUUAAAGGGUGCGUAGGCGGAUUGAUAAGUUAGAGGUGAAAUGUCCGAGCUCAACUCGGGAACUGCCUCUAAUACUGUUGAUCUAGAGAGUAGAUGCGGUAGGCGGAAUGUAUGGUGUAGCGGUGAAAUGCUUAGAUAUCACGAAGAACUCCGAUUGCGAAGGCAGCUCACUGGACUGCAACUGACACUGAGGCUCGAAAGUGUGGGUAUCAAACAGG
rnacentral:rRNA from 1 species